UAUUGUCCAUUCAGUCGUUUCUACAUAUCCCUAGUAUGUAGGAUACACGCACACCGACACCAGGGCCCUGUAUUCAUAUUCCCUUGCUUAUGUAUAGAUUUUUUUAUUUUUAAGAAUCAGCUUCUCCAUUAGUACCCGUUCCUGUCAACUAUGAGCUAUCCCCAAUAUCGUUGUUGGAUCUAGAUGUACAGGAGUCAGAAAGGAGAUUGAGGAGCAGCAGGUGUGGAGGCUUGCUUGUUGCCAUUCUCUGCUGGCUUUUGCGGUUCCCCGGUGUCGAGCUGUAGCGGCGGCUCCGCACCAGGAACUCGACCUGCUUUUGCGGCCACCGCUAUUCCUGAGCUCGGCCAGCUUCGCCCCUCCGUCGUACAACGACUUCUGCCGUCAGCUCUACUCCAACCGCGAUUCAAAGAUGGAGGACCACGGUCCUAUGCGGAUGUGGCUGCGGAUCUCGUUGACCUCACAAAGAUUGGCGAAGCCGCUGUGUAGGCUGCCCAGCAUGAUGUUGAGAGGUUGCCGAUUGAGCUAGCCAUCCUGGACAAUCAUGGCGCCUACCUGGAUGAAGAUGUCGAGCACGGUGAUUCUCAGAUUUCACCAUUGAACUGAAACAUCAAAUAGAUAUGAAUAAUUGAUUGUUUAUUCCUUUCGUAUUGUUACAUGAUAGCUUUUGUAUCCAAACCUGGGUGAGUGCAAUCACAUUUGUGCUGAUGGGAUGCCGGCAAGAUGGCUUGAUGCUUGAGGCCAUGAGAUGCUGGUGCAGCCGGCACGUCGUGAUCCCUUGACGAAGAUGCAAAAACCAAUGGAUAUCGGCAAGACGGCUUGAUGCUUGAGGCGAUGGGAUGCCGGAAAGUUUGCGGGUGGUGAUGCAGCCGGCGCAUCGUGAUUGCCUUAAGAAGAUGCUACAACCAACGGAGAAAGGAUAUAGAGAUUUUGUUGUUUUGCUCGGCAAGAAAACUGGCACUAUAUAGAGUAUAUAUCUGUAGGGAUGCAUGUCGUUAGAAUUUUAAUUGCCGAGGAGGCAUGUUCCUAUGGAGACACGAUACGUGGAGGUUAGUCGAUCGUACCUGUCUUUGUUUGCGUGUGCAUGUGUGGUUCAAUUUUAGCCACAUCCUACCGGGUUUGGGUUCAA